ensembl:lncRNA
AUGGCCUCCCUGGGCGAACCCCACAAGGGCUCCCGCUCCGCCAUUUCUCCUGCAGGAGCCUACCGCCAGCCCUCUCUGGGCACAGACACCAUCGAGGGCGGGGCGCGGGCGCCUGCAAAGCUGGCUGGGAAGCGGUCAGCGCGGUUCUCCUCCAGAGGAUCUGACGGUGCUUCCCGAGUCAGCCCCUCAGCCCUUGGCCCAGCCCGGCCUGGCCCGCACCAGUCACCGCCUCCUCAUCGUCAGGGGUCUCCGGCAUUGCGCACCUCUCUCCAGCGCCUGGCUCCGACCGGAUCGUCUACUCGUUGCCAGGCUGCCAGGGUCCGCGGAGCAGGCUGCCAGCCGGGACACCCUGGCAGAUCACCCCCGCACCCUGGUCCCCCUACUCACGCACCCCCAGUUGCCUUCAGAGGCCCAGGGCCCAGGUCCUCGGCCUCCCCCUCUUCUCCUCAGCUCUCUUUGGCGGCUCCUCACUUGGAUGCCCACUGCUUUCCCCGCGAUCCGAAUGGCAAAGAGGCGUCCCGCCCCCCACGCCUCUGCAGCAAAGUAGGCAGGGGCUGCGCAGGAUGCGGCAAGAAUCGCUCGCCGCAAGGGUGUCGGGAAAGGGGGGCGGAGGGAUACGGCGCGAAAGGGCUCGACGCCCCCUCCCAGGCCCACCGUGGUUCCGACCCAGAGGUGGGCGGGGCCGUGACGAGCCGCAGCCUGGACGUGCGCAUUGGCACCACGCUGCGUCAGGAGGCCCUCGCGGACCCUAACGUGGCGACCACCACCAUAUUUCUGGCGCUGCUACAAUAUGUGGGACCAGCGGGUGGCUGGGGACCAGGGCGGGGGACAGGAUCGGGAGGUCGGGAAGAGCCGCACUGGAGGGAGCAGCGGAUGGAUACCAAGCCGCCCCUUGGUGUGUCUGCAACCCCUCCCAACCGUCCCCCGACAAGGACUGCUGGGUGUCUGCCCCCUCCCUCUCCCCAGGCUCCUCACCCCUCUUCCUGUAUGCUAAUGGCAGAUCGGGUGUCAGCACUGCAGUCUGGGAGGGGAGAGGCGAUUUCAGGCCACCUAGGCCCGGGACUCUAA